GCCUCCCCCUCCCUCCCCUGCAUCACUUCCGGGGAUGAGGAGUCAGCUGGCGGCGCCGCGCCACGCUCCGCUCCGCGACGUGCCUGACGCCGCACGCACACUGAGGGCAGGCGGGCAAGGGGUCCGCACCGCCGCAUCCUCCCUCGCCCGCCGGAGCGGGGGGACGGGGCUUGGCGGCGCCGCAUCGCCGCGGGAGGGAGGGGAGCGGGGCCCCGGCGCGCCUCUUCCCGAAGGUAAAGAGCAGCGGCGGAGAGCGGACGAGGCGGCGCGGGAGAUGACACCAGUUACUCGACAAGAAGUUCUUGGCCUUUACCGCAAGAUAUUCCGAAUAGCCAAAAAAUGGCAGUCUGCAUCAGGACAGAUAGAAGAAACUAUUAAAGAGAAACAGUACAUUAUAAGUGAAGCCAAAACAUUAUUCCAAAAAAACAAAAAUGUAACAGAUCCACAGCUGAUUAAACAGUGUAUAGAAGAAUGUGAGGCAAGAAUAGAAAUUGGACUUCACUAUAAUAUCCCCUACCCAAGACCCAUCCAUCUGCCUCCUAUGGGUCUUGCGUCUAAACAAGGCCGUGCAUUUCGACACCAGGAAAAGUUGAGGAAGUUUUCCAAGCCAAUAUACCUGAAAUCCCAUGAUGAUAUUUCAUAACCCAUCAUUUAAGCUGUGAUGUGUUUGGACUGUAAUCCUGCAACUUUUUUUUGUCCAACUGUGAAUGAAGCUGUUUUGGUCCCAUGCUCACACAUUUCCUGAGGCCAGAUGGCUAACUGAAUACAAUGCAUAUGAUGGAUAAGCACUGGAAGGCCAAGACUGAAAUUUGUUACAACCUCAGGCUCCUCAGGUGAAUGAAGGAUUAGACCAGCUCUGUUGUCAAGUCUGGAGAGCAAAUCUUUCCUUCACAGCCUAAGCUAAGCUCUGUAUGGAAGGGAGAACCUGCCUCGAACAGUAUCUUUUGUCGUUGGAGGUCGAACUGCUAAACUACCACACUGACAGAGCUUCAUAAAAAAGAAUAACCUCUGUAACUCACUCCAGUUGGUCAUUGGUACUCAUAUUAAACACCAAGGACAUAGCUCCCUUGCAAAAUACAACACCGAGUUCUAUGACAAAGUAUCUUGAAGACAUCACAAUAUGUCAUUGCUACACAUUAAUUUUAUUUGCAAAAAGAUGCCGCCCUAAAAUGCCUGAGUUCUUGAGAGUUUGUAAUGCACUGGGUUCAGUUGGUCAGUGUACACUCUGUCCUGUACUUCCCUAACUUCCUUACUCCCCUUCCAGUAAAUCCUGUCUCUUUCCAAUUUAUCAUGCUUGUCAGAAGAUGCUUUAGAAUAAUAACCUGUCAGAUAAUUUGAAAUUCUGUAGAAAUAAAAACCUGAGUCAGCUGCCUGAACUUUCCUGUAAGCUAACCCAUAGGCAAUGCAGUGGUAAUUUGUUGACAUGACAUCUGCCCUUGAAUGUCUAGUAACACCUCCUCUCUGGAAAUUGUCUAACUCCAUCAUUAAUAAGGUCGUAACUUAUGAAACAAAACACUUAUUAAGCCAAAUUCAACAGCAACAUUACCAAGCACACAACCAUUUAAGCAGAUGGGAUUGGCACCUGCUUACUGAGUGUACUCCAUGUUUUACAUGGGUGAAGAAGCUCUCGUUAAGUUGCAGCAGUGACCCAAUCUAUUCCAAGGGAAGUACGUUAGAACUGAGAUAUGGUUAAGCUGGGUUAAGUCAUCUGAUCUGUCUUCCCACUAAUACAAGUUUCUUCUUGUAAUACAUUUUAGAUCUGGAGAAAAUAAAGGCAACUUGGACUUGGCCCUCUUUGGGCCCCACUAUGUAUUAAUCAGAACUGAUGUCAAUAGAUCCAUCUUUUAUCCACAGACAGGUCACUUCUUUGAUCAUACCCUAUGAAUUCAUUUUCAAGAAUGUUAAUUACAGGAGAGACCUUCACCUUUCACUAAUUUUUCUAAUCCUAUUAGUCAAACAUUCUAACUUACAGGAACUCGUAAGAGGAAGAAUUUGGGGCCAUUGCAUUGUCUUUUUGCCUUUUCAUAGUGUAAUUUUCUCUUUUAGCAGCCCAACAGUGUCAAGAUCAACAGGCACUUUCUGUUUCUGAAAUGGCUUUUUGUAUAGAGAAGAUUAGAAAAAAGCUUCCAUCUCCUGAGAAAAUGUUCCAACCCUACUUGUCUUUCAGCAUCAUUAGCUGAAAAAUCUCUCUCCCCAAUGUUUGUGUACUGUUUCCCCCCCACACCCAGCCCAUCAGCUUUGAGUGACUAGUGAGGCUGGGCAUUUAUGGUAGUAUACAGUAAUUAUAGGUGGAGUUUUCUGUAGUUUGUUUAAUGUGAGUUUCUGCCUGAGAAAUAGAAACACUAAACCUGUAAAACUAAGAAUUCUAGUACUACUACUAUAAGGAACUUCAUUUGUCCACAAAUUUUUCACAUUUUAAUCAUGAAAUUAAAGUUGGUCCAACUAACAGCUGAGUUGCCUUUUUCUUUUUCCUGUUCACUCAGCCAACAAAGGUUGUCAAGUCUCAUGCUCAGCCAGUUUAUCAUUCUUCAGGAAGCCCUAAAUAAAACUCAGCAAAUAAGGUUGGGAAGCUCACUUCAAAAAAAAAUCACAGAAACAUAUCUCUAAGACAGAUAUCUCUCAACAGUAAAUUCCACUAUUUUUUCUCUAACAGUAAAAGCUGCUCAGGAAAUCACAAACCUCUUCAAGACUUCAAUAACCAUGAAAUAAAGCAACUUAGCCAUACCUGAUCUCCACUGGAGG